UACGGAGGGUGCAAGCGUUGUCCGGAAUCACUGGGCGUAAAGGGCGCGUAGGCGGCCUGGUAAGUAGGGGGUGAAAUCCUGCGGCUUAACCGCAGGGCUGCCUUCUAAACUGUCAGGCUUGAGCACGGUAGAGGCAGAUGGAAUUCCCGGUGUAGCGGUGGAAUGCGUAGAGAUCGGGAGGAACACCAAUGGCGAAGGCAGCUCACUGGGACGGUACUGACGCUGAGACGCGAAAGCGUGGGGAGCAAACAGG
rnacentral:rRNA from 1 species